UUUAAGUGUAACCAUAAAUUUUUUGUGUCUAAUUUUGAUCAUCUGUUUUAUUUGAAAUUUUUUUAUCAUUAGUACUUUUAUUGUUAUGAGAUGAUAAAAUAUGAAUAAUACUUUACUCGUGACUUAUAUUUUUAAUUUAAAAUUUUUUAAAUAAGAUGUAAGAUUAAAAUUGGGCACGAAAAAAACAUGGCUGUACUUGAA
rfam:Oryza glumipatula chromosome 3, whole genome shotgun sequence.